UUGGGUUAAAUCCUUGGAAAUGUGAAUGAUGUAGAACAAAAGCUUCAAAACCAUAUCUGUUCUUGAAAAUCAAAUUUGACAACAGGAACAUAAGCUCUUACAAAUAUUAGCUUUUGCCAUGCAUGGAGCCAAAAAUGUUUUCCUUAAGCAUCAAAAGUAAUGAUCCUAACAUUUGUAUUAUAUUAUCUGGCAAACAACACUUCUAAGCAGUAUUGUUAAAGGCGAUGAAAGGUGCCAGGCGAGGCGAGCCCCUAGCGACUCGCCCGGCUAAGGCGAGGCAACGGAGAAGAGGCAAGUGCCUCAUACCUUCGAGGCAAGAGGCGUCGAGGUGCUGACUCUUCAAAGUAUCGAAAAAAAUUUUUUAAACAUCAUAUA
rnacentral:misc_RNA from 1 species